rnacentral:rRNA from 1 species
CGGCGAGUGAAGCGGGAAAAGCUCAAAUUUGAAAUCGUACGCGAGUAACCGUGUUACGAAUUGUAAUUUGAUGAGGUAAGCUUGGUGGGCGCCCGGGUCAAAAUCCUUUGGAAAAGGGUAUCAUAGAGGGUGACAAUCCCGUCUGUGGCCUGGUCAGCGGUCUAUCGUGUAAGCUACCUUCAAAGAGUCGGGUUGUUUGGGAAUGCAGCCCUAAGCUGGUGGUAAAUUCCAUCUAAGGCUAAAUAUUCGUGAGAGACCGAUAGCGAACAAGUACCGUGAGGGAAAGUUGAAAAGCACUCUGGAGAGAGAGUCAAACAGCACGUGAAAUUGUUAACAGGGAAACGUUGGGCCCCAGUACGCGCCUUGCGUAAAAUCAACCAUCUUUUCCCCUAGGGUGUAGGAUGGGGUGGAGGAGUCGCUAAUCCCGGCCCUUGCCUUAUCCUCGCCCGAGGGGGGUGGUGCACUUUUGCGUGGGCGGGUCAACAUCGGUUAGAUCCGUCGGAAACUCCUGGGUUGAAUGUUGGCGAUGGAAACUGACCCACUUAUAGCCUCCCUUGAAUGCGAUGGACCUGACCGAGGAGUCGCGGCUCGUGCCCCUUGGGCAGACCCCCUAUGCUCUCCUUUCCCGCUAGAGUCGGACAGCUUGCUGACCGGCUUUGGUCUGGGAGAGGAUGCGGUAUGGGUAGGGUUCUAACGAGCCUCGGACGUUGGCGAAAUGGAUCUCAACGACCCGUCUUGAAACACGGACCAAGGAGUCUAACAUGUGUGCGAGUAUUUGGGUGAAAAACCCGAGUGCGUAAUGAAAGUGACCCCAGGGGAGAAGGGAUACCUUCGGGUAGCCCCGCAUCCUCGACCGAUCCGAUUGCCCUCCGUGGCGACGGGUUUGAGUUUGAGCAUAUCUGUUAGGACCCGAAAGAUGGUGAACUAUGCCUGAGUAGGAUGAAGCCAGAGGAAACUCUGGUGGAGGUCCGUAGCGAUUCUGACGUGCAAAUCGAUCGUCGAACUUGGGUAUAGGGGCGAAAGACUAAUCGAACCAUCUAGUAGCUGGUUCCCGCCGAAGUUUCCCUCAGGAUAGCAGAAACGCGUUAAACAGUAUUAUGAGGUAAAGCGAAUGAUUAGAGGCCUUGGGGGCGGAAUGCCCUUAACCUAUUCUCAAACUUUAAAUGUGUAAGAAGUCCUUGCUACUUAAUUGAGCCUGGACCUGUUGUAUGAGCGUUUCUAGUGGGCCAUUUUUGGUAAGCAGAACUGGCGAUGUGGGAUGAACCAGACGGGAGGUUAAGGUGCCGGAAUGUACGCUCAUGUAGACACCACAAAAGGUGUUGGUUCAUCUAGACAGCAGGACGGUGGCCAUGGAAGUCGGAAUCCGCUAAGGAGUGUGUAACAACUCACCUGCCGAAUGAACUAGCCCUGAAAAUGGAUGGCGCUCAAGCGUACUACCCAAACCUCCCCGCCACGGGUUAAUGCGAGGCCCUGGCGAGUAGGCGGGCGUGGGGGUUGUGAAGAAGC